CUCAGCGGAAAUUCGUACUUCCCACACUGUGCCCUGGGGGACCGGAGGAUCGGAUGGAGCGGGGGAGAGGGAGGACGGCGCGGCGGGGGGAGGAAGCCCGCGGCCGGUCCUGGCUGGGCUCAGCCCCGGCAGCGAGCAGGGGCGCAGAGUGGGAAAGUUCCCGACAACGCUGCCAGUGAGGGUGCAAUUGAACAUGGCUCCAGCUCCAUGAGGGACUCGUCAGAAUGAUCCAGAUGUUCUUCAGAAAUUCCUGUUUCAAAGAUUCUUCUCGCUCAACAACACACAAAUUGAGAACAAAAGGAAGGUGUUGGAAAGCAUUCGGAAAACGAAACAAUGGGUGCCUGUCCUUUCAAUGACUUGCCUUUCCCGUUGGCAUUCUCUGUUUUUCUGAGAUGUCACCAAUCGAGUAAAUAAAUGCCUAAGAGCAGGAGGAAAUGCCUAAAUAUUUAGGGUAUAUAAGAUAUCCGAGGAUGAUGAGGGAAAGAAGGUAAUGACCAGACACUGCCGUGUUGCAAAUUUAAUAAAUAUGUUGUAAGCUGUUAGUACAUGAAGUUGUAUGCAACUACACAUGCUUAGAAUACAUUUCUGGACUAAAGCUGUCUACAAGACCUGCUUCUUUCUCUUACCAAAAGGCAAAAUAUAGAUAGCUUUUGUGGGAGCUUUGUUUUAGUGGCCAUGUCAACAUGAGCUGGUAGCAUGAGUGGUACUUUGUGGUGAGGCUCUGCUGUCUGCUUUCAUGUUACUUUGCUUCAACUGAUUUGGUCCUGGAGAAACCUUGGCAUCAAACGGGCCUGUUCUCAGCUUACCUUCUCUUAAAUUUGUGUCCUAAAUUGUUGAUGCUUUCUGAAUGUGGACUCAAAAGAAUUGUUUACAUCUUGAAUAAAUUAGAAAGUUUCUGUUUAAAUUAUUUGUAACUGCUGUAUUUUGAACAUGCUUCAUUAGUAAAAUGUUUUUUCUGAAA